GGCGAACGGGUGAGUAAUACAUAAGCAACCUACCUAUUUGACCGGGAUAACAGUUGGAAACGACUGCUAAUACCGGAUAGGUGCGCGGGGGACAUCCCCUGCACAUUAAAGCUGGGACACAGCACGAAUGGAUGGGCUUAUGGCGCAUUAGUUAGUUGGCGGGAUAACGGCCCACCAAGACGAUGAUGCGUAGCCGACCUGAGAGGGUGACCGGCCACACUGGGACUGAGACACGGCCCAGACUCCUACGGGAGGCAGCAGUAGGGAAUUUUCGGCAAUGGGCGCAAGCCUGACCGAGCAACGCCGCGUGAGUGAAGAAGGCCUUCGGGUUGUAAAGCUCUGUUGUAAGGGAAGAAUGGCCAAGAGAGGGAAUGCUCUUGGAGUGACGGUACCUUACCAGAAAGCCACGGCUAACUACGUGCCAGCAGCCGCGGUAAUACGUAGGUGGCAAGCGUUAUCCGGAAUUAUUGGGCGUAAAGGGAGCGUAGGCGGUUUGAUAAGUCUGAGGUGAAAGUUCGGGGCUCAACUCCGAAUUGCCUUAGAAACUGUCAGACUAGAGUGCAGGAGAGGGCAAUGGAAUUCCAUGUGUAGCGGUAAAAUGCGUAGAUAUAUGGAGGAACACCAGUGGCGAAGGCGGUUGCCUGGCCUGUAACUGACGCUGAGGCUCGAAAGCGUGGGGAGCAAAUAGGAUUAGAUACCCUAGUAGUCCACGCUGUAAACGAUGAUUACUAAGUGUUGGAGCAAUUCAGUGCUGCAGUUAACGCAAUAAGUAAUCCGCCUGGGGAGUAUGCACGCAAGUGUGAAACUCAAAGGAAUUGACGGGGGCCCGCACAAG
rnacentral:rRNA from 1 species